rnacentral:rRNA from 1 species
GACGAACGCUGGCGGCGUGCUUAACACAUGCAAGUCGAACGGUGAAGCGCCUUCCUUUUUGGUGGGUGUGGAUGAGUGGCGAACGGGUGAGUAACACGUGAGUAACCUGCCCCCUUCUUCUGGAUAACCGCAUGAAAGUGUGGCUAAUACGGGAUAUUCUGGGUCUGUCGCAUGAUGGGUCUGGGAAAGAUAUUGUUUCGGUGGGGGAUGGGCUCGCGGCCUAUCAGCUUGUUGGUGGGGUGAUGGCCUACCAAGGCGGUGACGGGUAGCCGGCCUGAGAGGGUGGACGGUCACACUGGGACUGAGAACCGGCACAGACUCCUACGGGAGGCAGCAGUGGGGAAUAUUGCACAAUGGGCGCAAGCCUGAUGCAGCGACGCCGCGUGAGGGAUGGAGGCCUUCGGGUUGUGAACCUCUUUCGCCAGUGAAGCAGGCCUGCCUCGUUUGUGGGUGGGUUGACGGUAGCUGGAUAAGAAGCGCCGGCUAACUACGUG